rnacentral:rRNA from 1 species
GGAGGGCGCAAGCGUUGUUCGGAAUCAUUGGGCGUAAAGCGCGUGUAGGCGGCUUGGCAAGUCGGGUGUGAAAUCCCGGGGCCCAACCCCGGAACUGCACUCGAAACUGCCUCGCUAGAGUCCCGGAGAGGAAGGCGGAAUUCCCGGUGUAGAGGUGAAAUUCGUAGAUAUCGGGAGGAACACCGGCGGCGAAGGCGGCCUUCUGGACGGUGACUGACGCUGAGACGCGAAAGCGUGGGGAGCAAACAGGAUUAGAUACCCUGGGUAGUCCACGCCGUAAACGUUGGGUGCUAGGUGUCGCGGGUAUUGACCCCCUGCGGUGCCGUCGCUAACGCAUUAAGCACCACGCCUGGGGAGUACGGUCGCAAGGCUA